rnacentral:rRNA from 1 species
UGGGGAAUUUUGCGCAAUGGGCGAAAGCCUGACGCAGCAACGCCGCGUGCGGGAUGAAGGCCUUCGGGUUGUAAACCGCUUUCAGCAGGGAUGAAAUUGACAGUACCUGCAGAAGAAGCCCCGGCUAACUACGUGCCAGCAGCCGCGGUAAUACGUAGGGGGCAAGCGUUAUCCGGAUUCAUUGGGCGUAAAGAGCGCGUAGGCGGAUCGUUAAGUCAGAUGUGAAAACCGGGGGCUCAACCCGCGGCCUGCAUCUGAAACUGGCGGUCUUGAGUCUGGUAGAGGAGUGUGGAAUUCCCAGUGUAGCGGUGAAAUGCGCAGAUAUUGGGAGGAACACCAGUGGCGAAGGCGGCACUCUGGGCCACGACUGACGCUGAGGCGCGAAAGCUAGGGGAGCAAACA